AGAGUUUGAUCCUGGCUCGAAGGACGAACGCUGGCGGCGUGCUUAACACAUGCAAGUCGAACGGGGGUAAGAGAGAAGCUUGCUUUUUCUUACCCGAGUGGCGAACGGGUGAGUAACGCGUGAGGAACCUGUCUUAUACAGGGGGAUAACGCAUCGAAAGAUGUGCUAAUACCGCAUAGGACCACACUGCCGCAUGGCAGAGGGGUGAAAGGAGCGAUCCGGUGUAAGGUGGACUCGCGUCUGAUUAGAUAGUUGGUGAGGUAACGGCUCACCAAGUCAACGAUCAGUAGCCGACCUGAGAGGGUGAUCGGCCACAUUGGGACUGAGACACGGCCCAGACUCCUACGGGAGGCAGCAGUGGGGAAUAUUGGGCAAUGGGCGCAAGCCUGACCCAGCAACGCCGCGUGAAGGAAGAAGGUUUUCGGAUUGUAAACUUCUGUCCUUGGUGAAGAGUGGAAGACGGUAGCCAAGGAGGAAGCCCGGCUAACUACGUGCC
rnacentral:rRNA from 1 species